CGCCGCGACCCGUUGCUGGGGACGUCGAAGGCCCGGGCGGACUGGUACCCCGACGUCGUGCGUUCGCGCCGACGAAGGGGGAAACCCCCGGUGUCCUGGCAGCCCUGCGACGGUCGAGCAGCAGAGGGGCAACACGCCUCCCUCUCGCGGCGUGCAAAAGGUCGGUGACCCACCCGACCCGUCUUGAAACACGGACCAAGGAGUCUAACAUGUGUGCGAGUCAUUGGGCGCACUAAACCCAGAGGCGUAAUGAAAGUGAAAGGGGGGCGUCCCGGGGUCUUCGGGCCUCGGUCGGCGCCCUCCGGGGCCGAUCCCCGACCGCCUGCUGCCGUCUCUGUUUCCCAUACCAAAGCGAGGUCAAGGGGGCGCGCGGGAUGAGUCCCUUUCUCCCGCGCCACCUCCGGCUUCGUGGGUGCAGGGCGCGCGCGACGGUCCGGCUCCUUCACGGGAGUCGCUUGUACGCAGGGGGGCGCAGGCCCGGGACUUGCCAUUCGACGCCGUCGCGCAAAUCUGUUGUUGGCCUCGCCGGCUUUGCUUGGGCUCUCGGUUGGCGCGCCGCGCGUCAGGCGGGCUUUGGGUGGGGGUUUCGGCUCU
rnacentral:rRNA from 1 species